UACGUAGGUGGCAAGCGUUGUCCGGAUUUAUUGGGUUUAAAGGGUGCGCAGGCGGCCCUGUAAGUCAGUGCUGAAAUAUCCCAGCUUAACUGGGAGGGUGGCAUUGAUACUGCGGGGCUAGAGUACAGAUGAGGUAGGCGGAAUUGACGGUGUAGCGGUGAAAUGCUUAGAUAUCGUCAAGAACACCUAUAGCGAAGGCAGCUUACUAGGCUGUAACUGACGCUGAGGCACGAAAGUGUGGGGAUCAAACAGG
rnacentral:rRNA from 1 species